rnacentral:tRNA from 1 species
GCCCCGAUGGAGGAAUUGGUAGACUCAGGGGACUUAAAAUCCCCAGGUGGCAACACCGUCCCGGUUCGAGUCCGGGUCGGGGCA